rnacentral:tRNA from 1 species
CAGGGAGACAACAAAAUGUUUAAUAUUAUUAUUUUGUCACCUUAGGUCGAUCGGUAUCUCACGUUUUUAAUUUAUUAAGAAUUUCAUUUCCUAAGUUUUUCUAGGUCACACCCAUUAUUUUUCCUGGGCCAUUAGCUCAGGUGGUUAGAGCGCACCCCUGAUAAGGGUGAGGUCCCUGGUUCAAGUCCAGGAUGGCCCAUAUCUCUAUGUUGGGGGUAUAGCUCAGUUGGUAGAGCGCCUGCUUUGCAAGCAGGAUGUCAGCGGUUCGAGUCCGCUUACCUCCACUGAUCACCACCUCUUCCAUAAUUGGUAAAAAGGAAAUUUUUUGAGUUGUGAUCAAAUUCUGAAAGAAUCUAGCUUCCUAAUGAAUUCAUUAAGAUGCUGGACUCAUUGAAUUAAUUUCAUUGUUUUCAGAGAACCUUGACAACUGCAUAGAUUAUUUUUAAAGACAAUAAGCAUCUUUAAUGAUGCAGAUUUAUUAUUUGUGCAAAUGCAUUAAUAACAAUUCUAUUAAGCUGAUGCUUCAAUAUUUGAAGUUAUU